rnacentral:tRNA from 1 species
UCCCUGGUGGCUCAGAAGGUAAAGCGUCUGCCUACAAUGCAGGAGACCCAGGUUCAAUCCCUGGGUUGGGAA